GCAUAUCAAUAAGCGGAGGAAAAGAAACCAACCGGGAUUGCCUCAGUAACGGCGAGUGAAGCGGCAAGAGCUCAAAUUUGAAAUCUGGCCCCUUUGGGGUCCGAGUUGUAAUUUGCAGAGGAUGCUUCGGGUGCGGUCCCCAUCUAAGUGCCCUGGAACGGGCCGUCAUAGAGGGUGAGAAUCCCGUCUGGGAUGGGCGGCCGUGCCCGUGUGAAGCUCCUUCGACGAGUCGAGUUGUUUGGGAAUGCAGCUCUAAGCGGGUGGUAAAUUUCAUCUAAAGCUAAAUACUGGCCGGAGACCGAUAGCGCACAAGUAGAGUGAUCGAAAGAUGAAAAGCACUUUGAAAAGAGAGUUAAACAGCACGUGAAAUUGUUGAAAGGGAAGCGUUGUCCACCAGACUCGCCCGGGGGGGUUCAGCCGGCACGUGUGCCGGUGUACUCCUCUCCGGGCGGGCCAGCAUCGGUUUGGGCGGCUGGUGAAAGGCCCCGGGAAUGUAACACCCUUCGGGGUGCCUUAUAGCCCGGGGUGCCAUACAGCCAGCCUGGACCGAGGCCCGCGCUUCGGCGAGGAUGCUGGCGUAAUGGUGGUCAACGGCCCGUCUUGAAACACGGACCAAGGAGUCUAACAUCUAUGCGAGUGUUCGGGUGUCAAACCCGUCCGCGCAGUGAAAGCGAACGGAGGUGGGAGCCCCUCGGGGCGCACCAUCGACCGAUCCUGAUGUCUUCGGAUGGAUUUGAGUAAGAGCAUAGCUGUUGGGACCCGAAAGAUGGUGAACUAUGCCUGAAUAGGGCGAAGCCAGAGGAAACUCUGGUGGAGGCUCGCAGCGGUUCUGACGUGCAAAUCGAUCGUCAAAUUUGGGUAUAGGGGCGAAAGACUAAUCGAACCAUCUGGUAGCUGGUUCCUGCCGA
rnacentral:rRNA from 1 species